rnacentral:lncRNA from 1 species
AAACUUUUAAAACCUUUAGAAGAUCAGAUCUUCACCUUGUGCGGGUAGAUGAUCACCGCAAACUGAUGAUCGUGGUUUUAGGAUGAAGGUUCGUUUGAAGUCGUUCAAACGUCCGGCCUCUACGGGUAUCCACACGAAGCAGAGGACCGAUCAAAGCUUUCUUGUCUUCCCAGGGUGCUAGCUCCCUUGCAAAGACUUCUUUUGAUGGCUGAUCUCCUCUCUUUCAAUCAACCCUUGAUUGUGCUUGAGAGGAGGAAGAAGAAGGAUGAAGAAGAGGAAGAAGAUGAAUCCCCACGC